GGCCGACUACCGGCGCCGUGUCCCAUCAUUCGUGUAGCUUAUGUUACUGUUGCCUUUCGAGUGCUUGCAUGCUGGUACCUGACCUACGGGAAGUGGUGCUUCAUACACAGUUGCCUCGCGGUGGACGCCUUCGGGUGUGCUGCUGCGGCCAAAUGGCGCUUGCGGCGUUGCCUCGUGGUGCUGGCUCGUUUUCGUGCCCGGUGCUAUCAAGGCAGCCUCGCUCCCGCUGUUGGUUUCGGAUGCCGCUCACGAUAAACGCUCAUGGCCCUUUUGGGUUGCCUUGACCUGACCCUAAAUAUGCCUUCCUCGUUGAGAACAACCGGAACAGGUGUUGCCUCAACUCGUAGGUGGAUAUUGGCCCGCUCAAUUGCGACAACCGGCCCGGCGGUUGCCUCUGCCUUUCCACGCAAGUGGACUGGCGAACAACUACCGGCGCUGGACGUCAAAGAGGACGUGCUACCUGGUUGAUCCUGCCAGUAGUC
rnacentral:misc_RNA from 1 species